GAUGAACGCUGGCGGCGUGCCUAAUACAUGCAAGUCGAGCGAACAGAUGAGGAGCUUGCUCCUCUGACGUUAGCGGCGGACGGGUGAGUAACACGUGGAUAACCUACCUAUAAGACUGGGAUAACUUCGGGAAACCGGAGCUAAUACCGGAUAAUAUUUUGAACCGCAUGGUUCAAUAGUGAAAGACGGUUUUGCUGUCACUUAUAGAUGGAUCCGCGCUGCAUUAGCUAGUUGGUAAGGUAACGGCUUACCAAGGCAACGAUGCGUAGCCGACCUGAGAGGGUGAUCGGCCACACUGGAACUGAGACACGGUCCAGACUCCUACGGGAGGCAGCAGUAGGGAAUCUUCCGCAAUGGGCGAAAGCCUGACGGAGCAACGCCGCGUGAGUGAUGAAGGUCUUCGGAUCGUAAAACUCUGUUAUUAGGGAAGAACAAAUGUGUAAGUAACUGUGCACGUCUUGACGGUACCUAAUCAGAAAGCCACGGCUAACUACGUG
rnacentral:rRNA from 1 species